CCAUGAGAUGAUCAUGAGAUGACCAUGAGAAUGAUGUGUUUGUGAUCAUGAGAUGACCAUGACCAUGCAAUGACCAUGACUGUGGCCAUGACAUACCCAUGGUCAUGAGAUGACCAUUACAAUGCGAUGACCAUGAAUGUGAUAUUACUGUGACCAAUAGGUGAUUAUAAGAUGAUCAUGCUCAUGACAUCAUCGUGAUCAUGAGAUGGCCAUGAGGAGACCAUGAUGGGAUCAUGACCAUGAGAUGACCAUAACAAUGAGAUAGAUGCCUGAGAGGAUGAGAUGAUGACUAUCAGGAAAUGACCCAUCACCAUGCGGUAGCCAUCAGAUGUCUGUGAUAACCAUGACCAUGACCCAACCACAGCCAAGACAUGACCAUGGCAAGAUUGUGGCAAAUGAGGUGAACAUGAGAUGAUCAUAAAAUGACCAUAACUCUGACACAACCAUGACCAUGGUAUGACCAUUAUCAUGAGAUGACCAUGCCUGUGAGGUGACCAUAAGCAUGAGAUGAUUUUGACCAAGAGAUGACCCUGAGGUGAUCACAACACACCAUGGCCACGUGUGAUCAUGAUCGUGAGGUGACUGUGAGAUGACCAUUACAGUGAGAUAUCCAUGAGCAUAAGAUGUUGGUCGUCAGGAAAUGACCAUCACCCUGAGAUGGCCAUGAGUCGAGAUGAUCAAGACCAUGAGAUGACCAUGAGGUGACCAUGAAACAACUAUGGCCAUGAGGUGAUCAAGACCAUGAGAUGACCAUGACCAUGCAAUUACCAUGAAACAGUCAUGACAUUGAGAUGAACAUGAGGUGACCAUGAGAUGACCAUUACAGUGAGAUGUCAAUUGGCAUGAGAUGAUGGGGAUCAGGAGAUGACCAUGACAUCAUGGUGAUUAUGAGAUGAUAUUGACUGUGACACAACUAUGGCCGUGAGCUGACGAUGAGAUGAACAUGAGAUGACCAUGAGCAUGAAAUGAUUGUGAUCAGGAGAUGACCAUGAACCUGUGAUGAAAGCG
rnacentral:lncRNA from 1 species